rnacentral:tRNA from 1 species
UCCUCAGUAGCUCAGUGGUAGAGCGAUCGGCUGUUAACCGAUUGGUCGUAGGUUCGAAUCCUACCUGGGGAG